rnacentral:lncRNA from 1 species
UUUUAAACUGCGGCUUUGUAACAGUAAAAUAUUUUUAUGUUAGUUUGGCCUUUGAAAAUCAGCAGUGAACUUAUAUAAAUAAUUUGAAAGGUGAAGUCAUUUUAAAGCAUAUGUUUUGAUCUUUCUAGAUCUUUCCAGAAACUUGCCUUGUGCUGAGCAACUUCCUUGUCUCCUGAAUAACAUGAUACCAAGCCCAGGACAGAACAGCCAGCCAGGGGCAGCAGAUCUUAUCUGACAGACUAAUCAAGCUGUCUGAGCAUCCUCAGCAGGGAGGUAAGUGGGCUGAGAGACACUGAGCUCUAUGGGCACGGGUGGCUCCAUGUUCAUCAAAC